AUUGAACGCUGGCGGCAUGCCUUACACAUGCAAGUCGAACGGCAGCACGGGAGCAAUCCUGGUGGCGAGUGGCGAACGGGUGAGUAAUACAUCGGAACGUGCCCAGUUGUGGGGGAUAGCCCGGCGAAAGCCGGAUUAAUACCGCAUACGACCUAUGGGUGAAAGCGGGGGAUCGCAAGACCUCGCGCUACUGGAGCGGCCGAUGUCGGAUUAGCUUGUUGGNGGGGUAAAAGCCUACCAAGGCAACGAUCCGUAGCUGGUCUGAGAGGACGACCAGCCACACUGGGACUGAGACAC
rnacentral:rRNA from 1 species